rnacentral:tRNA from 1 species
GGGGUCGUAGCUCAGUUGGUAGAGCGCCUGCUUUGCAAGCAGGAUGUCGUCGGUUCGAAUCCGUCCGACUCCACCA